rnacentral:rRNA from 1 species
GACGAACCGAGCGAACGUUGUUCGGAAUCACUGGCUUAAAGGGCGCGUAGGCGGGCUGUCAAGUCUGGGGUGAAAUCCCACGGCUCAACCGUGGAACUGCCUUAGAUACUGACGGCCUCGAGGGAGAUAGGGGCGAGCGGAACUGUGAGUGGAGCGGUGAAAAAUGCGUGAUAUUCACAGGAACUCCGGUGGCGAAAGGCGGGGCCUCCGCUGGGAUCUUUUUCUACGCUGAGGCGCGAAAAGCUAGGGGAGCAAAACGGGG